rnacentral:rRNA from 1 species
CCUACGGGAGGCAGCAGUGAGGAAUAUUGGUCAAUGGACGAGAGUCUGAACCAGCCAAGUAGCGUGAAGGAUGACUGCCCUAUGGGUUGUAAACUUCUUUUAUAAAGGAAUAAAACGAGGCACGUGUGCCUUUUUGCAUGUACUUUAUGAAUAAGGAUCGGCUAACUCCGUGCCAGCAGCCGCGGUAAUACGGAGGAUCCGAGCUUUAUCCGGAUUUAUUGGGUUUAAAGGGAGCGUAGAUGGGUUGUUAAGUAAGUUGGGAAAGUUUGCGGCUAAACCGGAAAAUUGCAAUUGUUACUGGCAGUCUUGAGUACAGUUGAGGUAGGCGGAAUUCGUGUGUUAGCGGUGAAAUGCUUAGAUAUCACGAAGAACCCCGAUUGCGAAGGCAGCUUACUAAACUGUGACUGACAUUGAUGCUCGAAAGUGUGGGUAUCAAACAGGAUUAGAUACCCCUGUAGUC